rnacentral:rRNA from 1 species
ACGCUGGCGGCGCGCUUAAUACAUGCAAGUCGAACGAGAAGCCAGAGCUUGCUCUGGUGGAAAGUGGCGAACGGGUGAGUAACACGUGAGAAACCUGCCCCAAAGAUUGGGAUAAGCCUUGGAAACGAGGUCUAAAUACCAAAUACCUUCUUUUUAACACAUGUUAAAAAGAAGAAAUGCUCCGGCGCUUUGGGAUGGUCUCGCGAUCUAUCAGCUUGUUGGUGAGGUAACGGCUCACCAAGGCAUCGACGGAUAGCUGGUCUGAGAGGAUGUCCAGCCACAUUGGAACUGAGACACGGUCCAAACUCCUACGGGAGGCAGCAGUAGGGAAUCUUGCACAAUGAGGGAAACCUUGAUGCAGCGACGCCGCGUGCGGGACGAAGGCCCUAGGGUUGUAAACCGCUUUCAGUAGGGACGAAAGUGACGGUACCUACAGAAGAAGCCCCGGCCAACUAUGUG